rnacentral:tRNA from 1 species
UUCCUAUUAGCUUAAGGGUAAAGCAAGAUACUUCUAAUAUCUUGAUUUAGGUUCAAAUCCUAGAUAGGAAU